GGGGAAUAUUGGACAAUGGGGGCAACCCUGAUCCAGCCAUGCCGCGUGAGUGAUGAAGGCCUUCGGGUUGUAAAGCUCUUUUGGCGGGGACGAUAAUGACAGUACCGGGAGAAUAAGCCCCGGCUAACUCCGUGCCAGCAGCCGCGGUAAUACGGAGGGGGCUAGCGUUGUUCGGAAUCACUGGGCGUAAAGGGUGCGUAGGCGGGUCUUUAAGUCAGGGGUGAAAUCCUGGAGCUCAACUCCAGAACUGCCUUUGAUACUGAAGAUCUUGAGUUCGGGAGAGGUGAGUGGAACUGCGAGUGUAGAGGUGAAAUUCGUAGAUAUUCGCAAGAACACCAGUGGCGAAGGCGGCUCACUGGCCCGAUACUGACGCUGAGGCACGAAAGCGUGGGGAGCAAAC
rnacentral:rRNA from 1 species